AGAGUUUGAUCCUGGCUCAGAACGAACGCUGGCGGCGUGGAUAAGACAUGCAAGUCGAACGAGAGAAUUGCUAGCUUGCUAAUAAUUCUCUAGUGGCGCACGGGUGAGUAACACGUGAGUAACCUGCCCCCGAGAGCGGGAUAGCCCUGGGAAACUGGGAUUAAUACCGCAUAGUAUCGAAAGAUUAAAGCAGCAAUGCGCUUGGGGAUGGGCUCGCGGCCUAUUAGUUAGUUGGUGAGGUAACGGCUCACCAAGGCGAUGACGGGUAGCCGGUCUGAGAGGAUGUCCGGCCACACUGGAACUGAGACACGGUCCAGACACCUACGGGUGGCAGCAGUCGAGAAUCAUUCACAAUGGGGGAAACCCUGAUGGUGCGACGCCGCGUGGGGGAAUGAAGGUCUUCGGAUUGUAAACCCCUGUCAUGUGGGAGCAAAUUAAAAAGAUAGUACCACAAGAGGAAGAGACGGCUAACUCUGUGCCAGCAGCCGCGGUAAUACAGAGGUCUCAAGCGUUGUUCGGAAUCACUGGGCGUAAAGCGUGCGUAGGCUGUUUCGUAAGUCGUGUGUGAAAGGCGCGGGCUCAACCCGCGGACGGCACAUGAUACUGCGAGACUAGAGUAAUGGAGGGGGAACCGGAAUUCUCGGUGUAGCAGUGAAAUGCGUAGAUAUCGAGAGGAACACUCGUGGCGAAGGCGGGUUCCUGGACAUUAACUGACGCUGAGGCACGAAGGCCAGGGGAGCGAAAGGGAUUAGAUACCCCUGUAGUCCUGGCAGUAAACGGUGCACGCUUGGUGUGCGGGGAAUCGACCCCCUGCGUGCCGGAGCUAACGCGUUAAGCGUGCCGCCUGGGGAGUACGGUCGCAAGAUUAAAACUCAAAGAAAUUGACGGGGACCCGCACAAGCGGUGGAGUAUGUGGCUUAAUUCGAUGCAACGCGAAGAACCUUACCUGGGCUUGACAUGUAAUGAACAACAUGUGAAAGCAUGCGACUCUUCGGAGGCGUUACACAGGUGCUGCAUGGCCGUCGUCAGCUCGUGUCGUGAGAUGUUUGGUUAAGUCCAGCAACGAGCGCAACCCCUGUUGCCAGUUACCAGCACGUGAAGGUGGGGACUCUGGCGAGACUGCCCAGAUCAACUGGGAGGAAGGUGGGGACGACGUCAGGUCAGUAUGGCCCUUAUGCCCAGGGCUGCACACGUACUACAAUGCCCAGUACAGAGGGGGCCGAAGCCGCGAGGCGGAGGAAAUCCUGAAAACUGGGCCCAGUUCGGACUGUAGGCUGCAACCCGCCUACACGAAGCCGGAAUCGCUAGUAAUGGCGCAUCAGCUACGGCGCCGUGAAUACGUUCCCGGGUCUUGUACACACCGCCCGUCACAUCAUGGAAGCCGGUCGCACCCGAAGUAUCUGAAGCCAACCGCAAGGAGGCAGGGUCCUAAGGUGAGACUGGUAACUGGGAUGAAGUCGUAACAAGGUAGCCGUAGGGGAACCUGCGGCUGGAUCACCUCCUU
rnacentral:rRNA from 1 species